rnacentral:ncRNA from 1 species
UAUCUUUGCAGCGUUCUUUCACGGUGAAAGACGUACAUAAUAAUCAUUGAAAUAAUAUUUGCAUG